CGGAUCGCAGGCUGCAACUCGCCUGCGUCAAGUUGGGAUUGCUAGUAAUCGCGGAUCAGCAUGCCGCGGUGAAUACGUUCCCGGGCCUUGUACACACCGCCCGUCACACCAUGAGAGUCGGGAACACCCGAAGUCCGUAGUCUAACCGCAAGGAGGGCGCGGCCGAAGGUGGGUUCGAUAAUUGGGGUGAAGUCGUAACAAGGUACC
rnacentral:rRNA from 1 species